UGCAAGAGAUGGAUCGUCUAACCGAACUUAUCUAAAGCUAUUGUAACUCUAUAGGUCGGUUUUCGUCGUCGGCUGAAACUACGUCGUAUUUAAUCCAGGCAGUCGUACUGGCGAAACGGUGGUCCAGAAGGAGACACCAUGAAGCCAUCUAUCGUUUUAUUUGUAGCCAUCAUUGUCAUGGCCUCCGGUAUCAAUUUCACAAUUGGGUGCUGCCACGACAGCGGAUGCACCUCCUAUCUUCAUGGCCAAGGUAUGAUAACGUGCCUUGAAGACGACUGCGUGCCAGUCACAAAAGACGGGACAACCUGCUGCAAGCAGAAAUAAUGUGGACAAGGCCGUCGAAGCAAAUUCUUCACCUCAAGGCCAAUAUUGUUUCAGUGAACGCUUCUCCAAUGCCUCCUCAUAGGAUAUAGCCGAAUGUCAAAAACCCCGCAUAUCCUAAUAAAUAUUAAACACAGACUGA